AUCAAAUAAAAAGAAUUGUAGGGGAAAUGGCACACCCAAUAAAAUCGCAGGAAUUAUCCAAUUUGUCCCGAAGUUUCCAUUUUCCGUAGCCGCCUGAAUCAACGAGAAGCGCAUAGCAAUUGAUGGAACGACCGAGUGACAAGGCUACUCAGGAUCAAGCUCGGGAAUCUCUCAUCGCGAUAGCUUACUCCUCACCCGAGGAGUCUAAGCCGUCGGACGUUUCACCCGGAAACAAAAACAUCACAAAUGGUGCCAACCCGGAAACUGGAGAUGAGGCAGAGAGGCUCAGGUCUGAACUCAUCUCACUUUCCUACGUCCAGUCACCAGAUGCCGCCAUUUCCCCGUUGCCCAGCAAUGGUUUCUGCAAUGGUGUGUGUCACGGAUAGCAGUUUGGAGAAAUGUACAGUUGGUAUAAAACUUAUCUUCUAUAUGGUUAAAGAGGAGACGAUUAUAAGCUUUGGUGUGGUUGAAAAAAGACGUUUCAUUUUCAUCGAAUGAUGGAAAAUCGAUGAAACAUGCAUUCUCUGUGUGUUUUGUUAGAUAUCUUUCGUUUAUUUUGUAAUGGUGGAAUGAAUUAAGGUAAGCAAAUGGAAGGCUGACUCGUAGAAGCUGAAAGGUGAGACAUUGAUUGAUUGAACUUGUGAUCGAUGACUCUGCUGUUUUUCUUGUUUUCAUUUUGGUUUUCUUUCUAGGGCAUUCGGUAUACAAAGGCCGAGAAUUUUAGUGAGAAGCAUCUUCUUCCUGGCAGAACUUGGUGGAUUCCAUUGGAUCCAUCAAGGAAUCCAACUCCGAGGGAAUGCUUGGCUUCACUUUGAUCAUCCAACCAUCUUCGUGGGGGAUUGUGUUCGACCGCGAGCUGCCAUCUUGGAAGCAUUCCCCCCGGGAACAAGUUCUAAAUUUGGAAUACCCUUGUGGAGAGGGAUGGCCAUGGCCAUGUGAUGGAGAGAGGUGGGUGGACAAUGAAAUGUCACAGUUGGCGAAAUAAGAGAAAACAUAUGCGUUAAAA